rnacentral:rRNA from 1 species
AUGCAAGUCGAGCGAACAGAUGAGAAGCUUGCUUCUCUGAUGUUAGCGGCGGACGGGUGAGUAACACGUGGGUAACCUACCUAUAAGACUGGGAUAACUCCGGGAAACCGGGGCUAAUACCGGAUAAUAUUUUGAACCGCAUGGUUCAAUAGUGAAAGACGGUUUCGGCUGUCACUUAUAGAUGGACCCGCGCCGUAUUAGCUAGUUGGUAAGGUAACGGCUUACCAAGGCGACGAUACGUAGCCGACCUGAGAGGGUGAUCGGCCACACUGGAACUGAGACACGGUCCAGACUCCUACGGGAGGCAGCAGUAGGGAAUCUUCCGCAAUGGGCGAAAGCCUGACGGAGCAACGCCGCGUGAGUGAUGAAGGUCUUCGGAUCGUAAAACUCUGUUGUUAGGGAAGAACAAAUUUGUUAGUAACUGAACAAGUCUUGACGGUACCUAACCAGAAAGCCACGGCUAACUACGUGCCAGCAGCCGCGGUAAUACGUAGGUGGCAAGCGUUAUCCGGAAUUAUUGGGCGUAAAGCGCGCGUAGGCGGUUUCUUAAGUCUGAUGUGAAAGCCCACGGCUCAACCGUGGAGGGUCAUUGGAAACUGGGAAACUUGAGUGCAGAAGAGGAGAGUGGAAUUCCAUGUGUAGCGGUGAAAUGCGCAGAGAUAUGGAGGAACACCAGUGGCGAAGGCGGCUCUCUGGUCUGUAACUGACGCUGAUGUGCGAAAGCGUGGGGAUCAAACAGGAUUAGAUACCCUGGUAGUCCACGCCGUAAACGAUGAGUGCUAAGUGUUAGGGGGUUUCCGCCCCUUAGUGCUGCAGCUAACGCAUUAAGCACUCCGCCUGGGGAGUACGACCGCAAGGUUGAAACUCAAAGGAAUUGACGGGGACCCGCACAAGCGGUGGAGCAUGUGGUUUAAUUCGAAGCAACGCGAAGAACCUUACCAAAUCUUGACAUCCUUUGACCGCUCUAGAGAUAGAGUCUUCCCCUUCGGGGGACAAAGUGACAGGUGGUGCAUGGUUGUCGUCAGCUCGUGUCGUGAGAUGUUGGGUUAAGUCCCGCAACGAGCGCAACCCUUAAGCUUAGUUGCCAUCAUUAAGUUGGGCACUCUAGGUUGACUGCCGGUGACAAACCGGAGGAAGGUGGGGAUGACGUCAAAUCAUCAUGCCCCUUAUGAUUUGGGCUACACACGUGCUACAAUGGAUAAUACAAAGGGCAGCGAAUCCGCGAGGCCAAGCAAAUCCCAUAAAAUUAUUCUCAGUUCGGAUUGUAGUCUGCAACUCGACUACAUGAAGCUGGAAUCGCUAGUAAUCGUAGAUCAGCAUGCUACGGUGAAUACGUUCCCGGGUCUUGUACACACCGCCCGUCACACCACGAGAGUUUGUAACACCCGAAGCCGGUGGAGUAAC